rnacentral:tRNA from 1 species
CGCGUACGAGGCGCGGGCCAUGCCGGUCGCCGACACCGACCCGGAGACCGACCUGCCGGACACCUUCCAGAUCAUCCCGGGUACGCGG